rnacentral:rRNA from 1 species
AUACGGAGGGUGCAAGCGUUAAUCGGAAUUACUGGGCGUAAAGCGCGCGUAGGCGGUUUAGUAAGUCGGAUGUGAAAGCCCAGGGCUCAACCUUGGAAUUGCAUUCGAUACUGCUUAACUAGAGUAUGGUAGAGGGAAGUGGAAUUUCCGGUGUAGCGGUGAAAUGCGUAGAUAUCGGAAGGAACACCAGUGGCGAAGGCGACUUCCUGGGCCAAUACUGACGCUGAGGUGCGAAAGCGUGGGGAGCAAACAGGAUUAGAUACCCCGGUAGUCC